rnacentral:tRNA from 1 species
GGAGAGGUGGCCGAGCCGGCUGAAGGCAGGCGCCUGCUAAGCGUCUGUACCGGGAGACUGGUACCCAGGGUUCGAAUCCCUGCCUCUCCG